AGAACGAACGCUGGCGGCAGGCCUCAAACAUGCAAGUCUAGGGGGUGUAGCAAUACAUCACCGGCGGACGGGUGCGUAACACGUGGGAAUAUACCUUUGGUUCGGAACAACGCAGGGAAACUUGCGCUAAUACCGAAUGUGCCCUUACGGGGAAAGAUUUAUCGCCAAAGGAUUAGCCCGCGUAGGAUUAGCUAGUUGGUGAGGUAAUGGCUCACCAAGGCUCCGAUCCUUAGCUGUUCUGAGAGGAAGAUCAGCCACACUGGGACUGAGACACGGCCCAGACUCCUACGGGAGGCAGCAGUUGGGAAUCUUGGACAAUGGGGGAAACCCUGAUCCAGCCAUGCCGCGUGAGUGAUGAAGGCCUUCGGGUUGUAAAACUCUUUCGGACGGGGACGAUAAUGACGGUACCCGUAGAAGAAGCUCCGGCUAACUUCGCGCCAGCAGCCGC
rnacentral:rRNA from 1 species